rnacentral:rRNA from 1 species
UCAGGAUGAACGCUAGCUACAGGCUAACACAUGCAAGUCGAGGGGCAGCAUUGGAGUAGCAAUAGUUCAGAUGGCGACCGGCGCACGGGUGAGUAACACGUAUCCAACCUGCCGCUUACUCGGGGAUAGCCUUUCGAAAGAAAGAUUAAUACCCGAUGGUAUAAAGAGUUCGCAUGUUCUCUUUAUUAAAGAAUUUCGGUAAGCGAUGGGGAUGCGUUCCAUUAGAUAGUUGGCGGGUAACGGCCCACCAAGUCUACGAUGGAUAGGGGUUCUGAGAGGAAGGUCCCCCACAUUGGAACUGAGACACGGUCCAAACUCCUACGGGAGGCAGCAGUGAGGAAUAUUGGUCAAUGGACGAGAGUCUGAACCAGCCCAAGUAGCGUGAAGGAUGACUGCCCUAUGGGUUGUAAACUUCUUUUAUAAGGGAAUAAAGUGAGGGACGUGUCCCUUUUUGUAUGUACCUUAUGAAUAAGGAUCGGCUAACUCCGUGCCAGCCGCGGC